rnacentral:rRNA from 1 species
UCAGACGAUGCGUCAUGCAUAUCAAUAAGCGGAGGAAAAGAAACUAACAAGGAUUCCCCUAGUAACGGCGAGUGAAGCGGGAAGAGCUCAAAUUUGAAAUCUUAAAGGGUUUCCCUUUACGAAUUGUAGUUUAAAGAAGUGUUUUCUGUUGAGGUUUUGGUAAAAGUUCUUUGGAAUAGGACAUCAUAGAGGGUGAGAAUCCCGUAUUUGACCUUUACUUUCAACUUUGUGAUACACUUUCAAAGAGUCGGAUUGUUUGGGAAUGCAGUCCAAAAUGGGUGGUAAAUUUCAUCUAAAGCUAAAUAUUGGCGAGAGACCGAUAGCGAACAAGUACCGUGAGGGAAAGAUGAAAAGAACUUUGAAAAGAGAGUUAAACAGUACGUGAAAUUGUCAAAAGGGAAGCGUUUGACACCAGUGUUGUUUUUCUGAAAAUCAAUUAAAGAACUGUUUAUGCUAAGUUGUUUAGGACUUUAUCAGCUAUCUGCUUAGUUUUGAGCUUUUCUUUAAUGCACUUUUCAGUUAACAAGUCAACAUCAAUUUCUUUUGCUGUAAAAAAGCUUGAGGAAGGUGGCUUGAGAUUCGUCUUAAGUGUUUAUAGCCUCUUGCCUAUGCAGUCGGAGAGAUUGAGGUCUGCAGCGUAGAUCCUUCGGGGCUAAAUGCAUUUGUGCUAAGUUAUAGCAUUUUAUAGACAACUUGUUGACUAUGAUUUGUCUUGUAGCUUACUCGCUUAUGUUAUUUUACCUACGCUUAGGAUGUUGACACACGCGCGUGCUCG